rnacentral:rRNA from 1 species
AUUGAACGCUGGCGGAACGCUAUACACAUGCAAGUCGAACGGCAGCACGGACUUCGGUCUGGUGGCGAGUGGCGAACGGGUGAGUAAUGUAUCGGAACGUGCCCAGUCGUGGGGGAUAACGUAGUGAAAAUUACGCUAAUACCGCAUACGAUCUAUGGAUGAAAGCGGGGGAUCGCAAGACCUCGCGCGCUUGGAGCGGCCGAUAUCAGAUUAGGUAGUUGGUGGGGUAAAGGCCCACCAAGCCAACGAUCUGUAGCUGGUCUGAGAGGACGACCAGCCACACUGGAACCGAGACACGGUCCAGACUCCUACGGGAGGCAGCAGUGGGGAAUUUUGGACAAUGGGCGAAAGCCUGAUCCAGCCAUUCCGCGUGCAGGAUGAAGGCCCUCGGGUUGUAAACUGCUUUUGUACAGAACGAAAAGGUUUCUACUAAUACUAGGAGCUCACGACGGUACUGUAAGAAUAAGCACCGGCUAACUACGUGCCAGCAGCCGCCGUAA